rnacentral:rRNA from 1 species
CGCGCAAAUUACCCACUCCCAGCACGGGGAGGUAGUGACGAAAAAUAACGAUACGGGACUCAUCCGAGGCCCCGUAAUCGGAAUGAGUACAAUUUAAAACUUUUUCCGAGGAUCAAUUGGAGGGUAAGUCUGGUGCCAGCAGCCGCGGUAAUUCCAGCUCCAAUAGCGUAUAUUAAAGUUGUUGCGGUUAAAAAGCUCGUAGUCGAAUCUGUGUCCCGCGCCGCUGGUUCAUCGCUCGCGGUGUCCAACUGGCGUGUUUCGCGGGACGUCCUGCCGGUGGGCGCUUGUGCUGUUUCGGCGGUGCUUGGCCCAACUCGUAGCCGUCUCGCGCGGUUGCGAAUCCCAUCGCGGUGCUCUUUAUUGAGUGUCGAGGUGGGCCGGCACGUUUACUUUGAACAAAUUAGAGUGCUUAAAGCAGGCCAAUUUUGCCUGAAUAUUGUGUGCAUGGAAUAAUGGAAUAGGACCUCGGUUCUAUUUUGUUGGUUUUCGGAACCCCGAGGUAAUGAUUAAUAGGAACGGAUGGGGGCAUUCGUAUUGCGACGUUAGAGGUGAAAUUCUUGGAUCGUCGCAAGACGGACAGAAGCGAAAGCAUUUGCCAAAAACGCUUUCAUUGAUCAAGAACGAAAGUUAGAGGUUCGAAGGCGAUCAGAUACCGCCCUAGUUCUAACCAUAAACGAUGCCAGCUAGCGAUCCGCCGACGUUCCUCCGAUGACUCGGCGGGCAGCUUCCGGGAAACCAAAGCUUUUGGGUUCCGGGGGAAGUAUGGUUGCAAAGCUGAAACUUAAAGGAAUUGACGGAAGGGCACCACCAGGAGUGGAGCCUGCGGCUUAAUUUGACUCAACACGGGACACCUCACCAGGCCCGGACACCGGAAGGAUUGACAGAUUGAUAGCUCUUUCUUGAUUCGGUGGGUGGUGGUGCA